rnacentral:rRNA from 1 species
AAUAUUGGACAAUGGGGGGAACCCUGAUCCAGCCAUGCCGCGUGUUUGAAGAAGGUCUUCUGAUUGUAAAGCACUUUUAGUUGGGAGGUGGAGUUGUAGGCUAAUACUUUGCAAUCUUGACGUUACAAAUAGAAUAAGCACCCCCUAUCUUCGUGCCGGCAGCCGCGGUAAUACGGAGGGUGCAAGCGUUAAUCGGAAUUACUGGGCGUAAAGCGCGCGUAGGUGGUUCGUUAAGUUGGAAGUAAAAGGCCCGGGGUUAACCUGGGAAUUGCAUUCAAAACUGACGAGCUAGAGUACGGUAGAGGGUAGUGGAAUUUCCUGUGUAGCGGUGAAAUGCGUAGAUAUAGGAAGGAACAUCAGUGGCGAAGGCGACUACCUGGACUGAUACUGACACUGAGGUGCGAAAGCGUGGGGAGCAAACAGG